rnacentral:lncRNA from 1 species
AAGCUCAGUGCAGCUUGUCAGUUUAUGGGGAGAGGCUUAGCUGAGAGCUGCAGGUAUUUUUUCCUUUUCUAUUUUAGGGCCUUCUUUCCUGGAAAGGGAGAGUAUAGAUCUGGAAACAAAAGAGAAAAUCAGGGAAUAUGAUUUUCCCAAAGAUGAGAUCAUUAGUGCAUUUGUGAGAUAAUCAUAAAGCCAGCUUGGAGAGCUCCCUAUUCAACUAUAAAUUGUUCUGAGUGGAUCUGGUCUUGUGUAGCUGCGCUUUUAUAUCUACUGAUGUGCUUCCUGAAAGCAACAAUUUCUGUUAAUGCACUGACCAGGCAGCAGCGUAAUAAGCCUGUCAGCACACAAUGGACGGCCAAGGACUGGAGGAGGGAGAACGCAGACCACAAGCCCCCUCUUUGAGGCUGUGUUCCUGUCAUGCCCUCGUGUGCCUCCUUGUGCAGAGCUGCAGGGCUCUGGGGGUGAAGCUGAUGCUAAUGCUCUCCUGAGGAAACAGAGGCUGGGUGAGCUCCAUCCAUAAAGGAGUUGAGGAUUUCCUUUAUUACAGAAGAAGAACUUUGCUGCACUGAUUGCUGAUGCUUCCCCUCCUCUUUAGAAACUCCUCAGCUGCCAUUCUCUGCUGCUCAGCCAGAAGCUGCUGAAGUCCUCUGUAGACAAGACAGUUCCUCUGUGUGCUCCUCUACCAGUUCCUCAGCAUCACCCCUGUCUACCUGCAGGCCUGUAGACUCUGCUACAGUGACAGUGUCAUCAACCACAGGGUCAACUGGAGCCCCAGGCUCCUCUACAC